rnacentral:rRNA from 1 species
CCUACAGGAGGCAGCAGUGGGGAAUAUUGGACAAUGGGGGCAACCCUGAUCCAGCCAUGCCGCGUGUGUGAAGAAGGCCCUCGGGUUGUAAAGCACUUUCAGUGAGGAAGAACGCCUGGUGGUUAAUACCCAUCAGGAAAGACAUCACUCACAGAAGAAGCACCGGCUAACUCCGUGCCAGCAGCCGCGGUAAUACGGAGGGUGCGAGCGUUAAUCGGAAUUACUGGGCGUAAAGCGCGCGUAGGUGGCUUGAUAAGCCGGUUGUGAAAGCCCCGGGCUCAACCUGGGAACGGCAUCCGGAACUGUCAAGCUAGAGUGCAGGAGAGGAAGGUAGAAUUCCCGGUGUAGCGGUGAAAUGCGUAGAGAUCGGGAGGAAUACCAGUGGCGAAGGCGGCCUUCUGGACUGACACUGACACUGAGGUGCGAAAGCGUGGGUAGCAAACAGGAUUAGAUACCCUGGUAGUC